CGCCGUCCACCGCCACCACCUUGGUCACCAGGUAGCCUGGCUCGGCCGCCCGGGGCACCAGCUCGGUGCAGGGCGCGGAGCCGUUCUGCAGCGGGUACAGCACGAAGGGCGAGUUGUCGUUGGCGUCCAGCACCAGCACGCGCACCAGCGCCUCGCUGCUCAGCUCUGGGGACCCGCGGUCUGUGGCGCCCACGCGGAACUCGAACUCCUGCAGGGUCUCGUAGUCCAGCGAUCGGAGGGCGAACAGGUGGCCGUUGUCUGUGUUGAUGGAGACCAGGGAGGCGAGGGGCAGAGUCUCGGUCUCGAAUCCUAAACAGGGCCACUUCUGUCUCUGGAGAAUUCUCGGGAAUAGGGCUGAAUAGCGACGGGGUUCCCAGCCUGCCAGAGCCACUUCCAGUAAAAGAAGAAGAAUCAGGACUUGCCUUUGUUCAGGAAAGCGCUCCCCUGUAGGCUCCAUCUUUACUUCUGCACACCUCCCUUUCAAGGAAUCGGAGUCAGUGCUACUUCAGGGAGCGAUGGGACAGAGGCAGUGAUCGAUCUGCCCGUUGAUAACCUGUCCGGAAAUGUAGGAGAAUAGCAUUCUCCGGAGACACUGGUCCGUGCUCUGCUAACGGACUUCCCCCUUAGGCUGGAAGAGGUCUGAAGUAGCUCGUAGCAUUUCAUGGGCUUCGUUUCCUUUUUUUGAAGCCUUAGCCUGCAGCGCCACCAUGCGUUGUCUUUACUUCGAAACGAAUUGCUACAAUUGAUCUAUUCUCCAUUCUAUUAGGAGUUUGGAAAAUGGGAGAAAAUGAUGUAAUCACAAUAUCACGCAAUUAUAAUUAUUAAUUUCUUCAUUCAAAGGGGUAUUUUUGGUCUCUAUGUGCCAAAUUAUGAUACGCAUCAGUAAACAACCCAGACAUGGUCCCCACCGUCCAGAGCCUGUAGUCUGGGUGGGGUGCUCUGAGGGAAAUUGAGAAGUGAAAGAAGACAUAAUAGGGAUCAGUCAUCUUAUAAUAAUAAUAACCCAUAGCCACGUGA